AGAAGCUUGCUUCUUUGCUGACGAGUGGCGGACGGGUGAGUAAUGUCUGGGAAACUGCCUGAUGGAGGGGGAUAACUACUGGAAACGGUAGCUAAUACCGCAUAACGUCGCAAGACCAAAGAGGGGGACCUUCGGGCCUCUUGCCAUCGGAUGUGCCCAGAUGGGAUUAGCUAGUAGGUGGGGUAACGGCUCACCUAGGCGACGAUCCCUAGCUGGUCUGAGAGGAUGACCAGCCACACUGGAACUGAGACACGGUCCAGACUCCUACGGGAGGCAGCAGUGGGGAAUAUUGCACAAUGGGCGCAAGCCUGAUGCAGCCAUGCCGCGUGUAUGAAGAAGGCCUUCGGGUUGUAAAGUACUUUCAGCGGGGAGGAAGGGAGUAAAGUUAAUACCUUUGCUCAUUGACGUUACCCGCAGAAGAAGCACCGGCUAACUCCGUGCCAGCAGCCGCGGUAAUACGGAGGGUGCAAGCGUUAAUCGGAAUUACUGGGCGUAAGGCGCACGCAGGCGGUUUGUUAAGUCAGAUGUGAAAUCCCCGGGCUCAACCUGGGAACUGCAUCUGAUACUGGCAAGCUUGAGUCUCGUAGAGGGGGGUAGAAUUCCAGGUGUAGCGGUGAAAUGCGUAGAGAUCUGGAGGAAUACCGGUGGCGAAGGCGGCCCCCUGGACGAAGACUGACGCUCAGGUGCGACAGCGUGAGGAGCAAACAGGA
rnacentral:rRNA from 1 species